UUUCUGAAAAGAUGCACGAGAAAGUUAACAGUGGUAACCUCUGGGGUGUAUGACAGUGGAGGUGUCAGAGAAGUGAGGAGGAAAACUUUUACUUUUUACCUUAAUACCCGUCUCUACUGUGGAACAUGUUUUAUUUAUUCAUAUUAUAAAAAUAAACCUGCCACAGAAAGGAGAUUCUGGCCCCAGCCCACUCCCAACAGACACACAAAAACAAAGAGAAGACGUAAGUCAACUUGUCUAGGUACAACUAUAAAUUAGCAAGACUGCCUUUUUGCAUGGUUCAUGGCACUAGUUUCAUUAAUUCACAGUCACAGUGCGGUUGAUGACUCGAUGAAUCUUCCUAGGAAAAGCUUAAUUCAAUUAGGGCUCUUGGCAGCUCCCUGAGGAAGCUCUGGUAUCUUGCUUUUACUUACACAAAUUGAGGGUAAACCAAACAGAUGCAGACUUUCCCAGAGAGACCCCACCCAGCCCAGAGAGGAUGCCCUAGAAGACCCUCCAUUAGAGCCAAGCCGAGGGAGGCAGAGGGGGAGGAAGGCGGCUGUGGCAGCAGCACUUACACAGGUGCUGGCUGAUGCCUAGAGCAUCACUCUGUGUCAAGCUGGUUUCUUGUCUUCCUCAAAGGCUUCACAUGGACACUAUCUCUACACGGAAGUCAGUCAUGCACUUAUUUGUCCCCCAAGUAUUUAGGAGCCCUGCCUCUGUGCCAGGCACAGAGAAGAAAGCAAACAAAGGCUCUGCACUCAAGGGGGUUACAUUCUUGUAGGAAUCCUGUCCUAAGAAUAGCUCUCUCUGUCCUGCCUGCUUGUCUAAUUCCUCUCCAUCUUCAAGACUGGCUCAAAUUCCACCUCCUCUGAGAAGCCUUCCCUAACCACCUGUGCCCUCGGGGACUGCUUGUUCCCUCUGAACUCUGCCUCUGCCAGGAGUCCGCGGAGACCUCAGCACAGAUGGACCAUUUUCUCCAAACAGACUGGAAGCUCCUGGUGAGCCAGGCCUGGGUCUCACUCUUCUUGGUUCCCCCAUGUGCCACAAGCUCAGAGCCCGCUGGCUGGUUUCAGCUGACCUGCCUCUACGACCCCACCUUGGACAGACGAAUUAAUUAGCUGCUCUCAGUCCCGGCUGGCCAGCCCAAAGCCAGAGCCUCUGUGAGUCUGCCUGGCACACAGCAAGCGCUACUGACCUGGUCUCAGAUAGGCCCAGCGCUGUGGAAGGGCCAGUCUGGGCUUAGGGGCACCAGCGAGCAGCCGGUGCAGCGGGCUAGAAGGACCUGUCAGCGCCCGCUCAACGCAGCGACCCCUGUCGCCGAGAAAGGAAGUAUCGCGUCGAAAGAGGAGGAAGAGUCAGAGAUGGCAAAAAGAAUAGUCUUGAAUCUACAGAGAUUCUGACUAACGUCCAGCCAUUUGGGAGAUGACAGAAGAGCCUAGGAAAGCCUUCAGAGAAAUCCAAGGGCCUUGCCUCACCUGGAGCAGAUGAAAGGAGAACAUCAGCUAUAAUGGAAAUAACCAAAGAGAGGAAAAGCAUUUAGGACAAGGAUCAGAACAAUGACAAUAUGCCUCACAUGGUUCGGUCCUUUAUAGUUUACAGCCAAGUGCCCCAGGUUUAUCAACGAUCCAAGUCCUGGUGCUCAAUAAAUAGUAGCUAUUAUUCUCAUUUCCAUUUUACAGAUGAAAAAACUGAGGACUCAGAGACAUAAAGCCAUUUGGCCAAGAUCACACAGCUACUAGGUAACAGAUCCAGGACUUAAGUCGGUUUUCUAACAUCUUAAUCCAGAGCUCUUUCAAAACACCACAGGUUCAGUGUAGAAAAAAGGAGGCAAAGGUGGGGCUAGUGGAGGGACUUUAUGCAGGUGACAUGGGCCAGAACCCUGAGACCUAUAGUCCUUUCCAGUCUUUUUUUUUUUUUUUUUUUGGCCAUGCCGCGUGGCCUGCGGGAUCUCAGUUCCCAGGGAUUGAACCCAGGCUACGGCAGUGAAAGUGCCAAAUCCUAACCACUAGACCAUCAUGGAACUCCCAGUCCUUUCCAGUCUUGAGAUCAACAUUCACCCGUGCACUCUGAUCCUCCUCACUCUCUGACUCUCUCUCAUUCUGGUCCUCAAGUCAGUCCUUGGGUGCCAGCCUUGGAGGUAGCAGAUCCCAUGAGAACCAGGAAAUAGCAGCCCUAAGAUCCUCCACAGCCUGGAGAAGGUUGUAUCAACAUGACAGUGCCAGGAAAGAGCCCUUGGGAAAAACCACCUGGGACUGCCCGUGGCCAAGGCCCAGUCUGGACCAGGCAGUAUAGCCUAAGAAUUAAGAUUAAGAAUCUAGCCAGAUUGUCUAGGUUCAGAUCCCCACACCACCACUCACUACUUAGAAGACCUUGGGUAAAUCAGUCAACCUCCCUGAUUCACUGUUUCUUCCUCCAUCACAUGGAAACAAUAAUGCCAAUCUCAUGGGGCUGUUCUAAGGGUCUUAGCCAAUGUACAUAUAGAACUCAGGGCAGCAGCCAGCAAGUACCACAUAUAUUUACCGUCUUUAUCUUUAUUUACAUGUACUGAGGGCCUCAAAUGUAGACUUUCUGUGUUAGGGCCACAUGAAGUUAUACAUUCAGACACAGAAACACAGGCUAGAAAGAAGUCCUUCACAUCUGUGAAACUGGUCCCAUCAUCAGACCACUCACCCUGUGGACUUCCCAUUGACCAAAUCCAAGCCAAGGCUAGAAGGCAUAGAGCCGUUGAUGUCCUCCAUCCAAGUCAGCCAACCAGGGGAGAGGAAGGGAGGAGUAGGUCGAAGAAUGGACCUGCUGGUCCACAUGCAGGCUAUCUGGCACGUUUUAAAAUUGACAACUGAAACGUUCAUCUUAGGGACUUCCCUGGUGGCACAGUGGUUAAGAAUCCGCCUGACAAUGCAGGGGACACGGGUUCGAGCCCUGGUCCAGGAAGAUCCCACAUGCCGCGGAGCAACUAAGCUCGUGCGCCACAACUACUGAGCCAUGUGUUGCAAAUACUGAAGCCUGCGCACCUAGAGCCCAUGCUCCGCAAGAGAAGCCACCACAAUGAGAAGCCCACACACCGCAACGAAGACUAAAUGCAGCCAAACAAUAAAUAAAUAAAAAAAAUUAAAGAUACUACAGUUUUUUAAAAAAUGAAAAUAAAAUGAAGGAAUGGAUAUAGAUCAAACUUUUAAAAAAAUAAUAAAAUAUUCAUCUUAAAUGUAAGCCAUUGCAAAGGAUAUACUUGCUAGCAUAUUGAAAAUAUUUUAAAUAAAACUGUUCCAUCAUCAGUUGAAUGUAAGUAUCAUCAUGGUUUGAUACUCACUAUCAUUCAUGUCAAGAAAAUAUCAGAACAAGCUGUACAUUAGCAGGCAGAAAUGCUACAUCAUUAUUUUUUUUCUUCUUGAAUGUAUAGUUACAUUUUGCUUCCUCUCACAGAAUGUUCUCCUAGGGUAAUAUAUUUUCUGCUGGAAAGUCUGUUAUUGAUUAUCUAAUUCAUACUCCCAACAGAAAUUUAUAUAUAUGAUUGCACUUUAAGAAAUUUUGAAAUUUAAAUAAUUUAAAAUUUCCUUUGACUCUAAAGCUCUAUGUUUUAAAAUUUCUUCUGGGUUGAAAUAU